rnacentral:rRNA from 1 species
UUUUUAGAGAGUUUGAUCCUGGCUCAGGACGAACGCUGGCGGCGUGCCUAACACAUGCAAGUCGAACGGAGCGACUCAACAGAAGGUCUUCGGACCGGAAGAUGACGAGCUUAGUGGCGGACGGGUGAGUAACGCGUGAGCAACCUGCCUACAAGAGGGGGAUAACGUUUGGAAACGAACGCUAAUACCGCAUAAAGUAUAUUAACGGCAUCGUAGAUAUACCAAAGGAGCAAUCCGCUUGUAGAUGGGCUCGCGUCUGAUUAGAUAGUUGGUGAGGUAACGGCUCACCAAGUCGACGAUCAGUAGCCGAACUGAGAGGUUGAUCGGCCACAUUGGGACUGAGACACGGCCCAGACUCCUACGGGAGGCAGCAGUG